rnacentral:ncRNA from 1 species
UUAUGCAUGAGCCGGUGCCUGCUGCCUGUGUUGUACUCGGGGAAGGCCGUUUUUUUUUUCGUUCUGUUGUCUGAACAAGAGGCCUUCCAGAGCAAGACAGGCAGUAUGGCUGAGAUUAUACGGCCGUAACUUGAUCUGGAUAAUACCAGCGAAAGGAUCAUGACUGCUCUCCCC